rnacentral:rRNA from 1 species
GACAGAGGAGGCGAGCGUUAUCCGGAGUCAUUGGGCGUAAAGGGUACGUAGGCGGCUAGUCAAGUCUGAGGUUAAAGACCACAGCUUAACUGUGGAAAGGCCUUGGAACCUGACUGGCUAGAGUGGGGCAGGGGUUGCGGGAAUUCCCGGUGUAGCGGUGAAAUGCGUAGAUAUCGGGAAGAACACCUGAGGCGAAAGCGCGCAACUGGGCCCUGACUGACGCUGAGGUACGAAAGCUAGGGGAGCGAAUGGG